GCUAGCAUUCCUCAUGAGCAAGAACUGUCAUUCACUUUAUAGGAAAGCUGUAAUAUAAUGUAGCUGCAACAUAACUUGCCAGGAAAGGCUGGUUAAGACACAAGCAUGUGUUUUGUAAGCCAAGUAUUGUGAAACUCAACAUACAAGGAGGAUGCAAAGUUGUCUCAACUGUAAGGAGGAUAAGAUGGGCCAUUACCAAGAAAUGGAAAGGCAGUGGAUGUUUCUGAUAUAGAGGCUCCUGCAAAAGAGUGAGGCCAUACCAAAGCCCUGCAUAAAACCAUGUCCUGGGCUGCAGCUGGAUAUGGUGGGAAGCUUCUCCUACUCCACCAAUUUCUGCAAGUGCCAAAGAAUUUACUUUGUGCCUGGUUCCAGUUUGAGCUGCAGGCAGAAUCUGGUGAACAGAGUGAAAUACUGUGAGGAACAUGAAUUUCUGACCUGACAGUAAAUGUGACAAACCAGUAAUCUUAAUGGGAUAUUUUGUUUCUUGAGGUGACCAAAAAGGAUGGAGAGAAGCUCUGCUUUGGGGUGUUUAUGCACACUGAAUCUCUGAGAUUGCUUUGCUUGGGUAAGAAAGACAGGCAUGCAGCUGAGCAGCAUCUACCCAACUUAUUAGGGGAAUUUAAACAUACAGAAAUGGAUAAAGGGAAGGAGAUGAAUUUGGGACAUUCUGCCACAACAGCUGCUGGCUUGUCUGCUCAAAUAAAUAAGACCAGCAACAGCUUGAACUUGUUUUCACCCAAGUAACUCAUUAAGGGAGAUGCUCAGAAGCAUUGCCAUGGGCGCAGAGAGCUGCUGCAUGAGGGCAACUGAAAUGUCAUCGUCAACUGCAGCACUGCCAGCUCCUUUCUACCUAAAUGACUGGAGAACUGGUAUGGGCAUGGAGCAAGAAAUACCAUGAAGAUAAAGGCUGAUCCAUGGUGAGGAUAAGAACUUCUUUCAAACUAUUUGAAGCUUGCUGGUUUUUUGUAGUUCUACUUUAAUUCAGACUUCUGAGAAACUGUGAGGCAUGAGAUGUCUUUGUGAAAAUUCAUUACUUCUUUCCCUUUAUUUAAAGAAGAAGAAAUAAGAGUCUGAAUCAGAGACUGCUGAUGAGUUAUAUGGGAAGGUCAGAAUUGAUAGCAGCUGUAAAGAAGAACAAAACUGCUUUAAAACCUCAUUCCUUUCUGGUGAUAAAAAACCCACCAUAGUAUCAAUUAUUUUUCUCUUUUAUGGACCUGUUUCAAGUGAAGGGUUUUUGUUAUAUGCAGUUUCUUCUCUGAAAACGAAGUACAUUGGUAACAAAAAGUAAUCCUUCCUUUGGGUAAGCUUUAAUCCAUGAACUCUGACAACCUAGCAAUCAAGGCUUGUUUCUUCAUCCACAGGCUUACAGUCUAAACCGCACGAAGGUUUGUACAUGUGCAGUGCACAGCCAGAGCAAUGUCCCACGCCCGUUUGCCAUGUAAAAAUGAUGUUGUGGUAAGAAGACAACGGGGUUCCCAAUAAGAGGUUGGAAAGCUGUCAAAACAGCUGCUAAAUCAGCUUUUGAUAGGAGCUGACUUUCUAAAGACUGCUUGAACUACUUCAGAUAAUUUAUGCGCUUGAAAUUUUAGCCAUUGAAAACUAGAGGUCUCAGAUAUUUUACCACUGACAGCCAGCCGUGCCUUACCCUGUUUUUUCUAGCAACCAGCAGUGUAUAUCAAAAGGUAAUGGGCUUUGGAUUACAUAGUUAUGGUGGAGGUAGUGUCAUCUGAAACCUGUCAUAGCUUGAUUCAGGCUAUCGUGGAGAUGUCUGGUAGUGCUAAAUCAGUGCUUGGUGCUCUAAAGAUACUACUCUUGUACAAAGGCAGAGCAAUAGUUGAAAAUCCCAUUGUAUCCCUUCUGGUACUACAUGUUCUCUGCUUUUUUUAUUGAGCUUAUCAAAUGUUAUAGUAACAUAACUGCUCUAUGACUCCACAGUUUCAUGAGGGAGGUGGGAGUGGGAGGAGAGAGAAAAGCUGUCCUUAAAAUAAAAAGGUUGAAUAGUAAGUAGAAUAAUAGGAUAUAAUAUCCAGAUACUCACGCUAGGGCUUCUGAACAGUCAUCAGAUAAUCCCAUUACAGGGACAUGCAGGGGCAUAGCUGGAGCAAAAACACUAGAGGCCAAAUUCAGCCUCGAUGCAACCAGAGGCAGCAAAUUCAUGCCUGAAGCUCAGAUUGUCCCUGGACCCUUUGGGAGGAUAAUGGUCUGUCUCACUGCCGUGUUAGCUUCAGCCUGGCUCCACGGAGGACAGAUGGGUGCACAGAGGAAGACAGAUUGUCCUGCC